UAUCCGUAGGUGAACCUGCGGAAGGAUCAUUAAAGAGAUCAUGCCCUCACGGGUAGACCUCCCACCCUUUGUUUACAAUACCUUUGUUGCUUUGGCGGGCCCGUUUGGCCCCGCGCUGAACAACCGGCCCCGGCUGGUCAGUGCCCGCCAGAGAACCGAAAACUCUGAAUUAAAUGUCGUCUGAGUACUAUGUAAUAGUUAAAACUUUCAACAACGGAUCUCUUGGUUCUGGGAUCGAUGAAGAACGCAGC
rnacentral:misc_RNA from 1 species